UACGGAGGGUGCUAGCGUUGUUCGGAAUUACUGGGCGUAAAGCGCGCGUAGGCGGCUUAGCAAGUUAGAGGUGAAAGCCCGAAGCUCAACUUCGGAAUUGCCUUUAAAACUGCAAAGCUAGAAUCAUGGAGAGGUGAGUGGAAUUCCGAGUGUAGAGGUGAAAUUCGUAGAUAUUCGGAAGAACACCAGUGGCGAAGGCGACUCACUGGACAUGUAUUGACGCUGAGGUGCGAAAGCGUGGGGAGCAAACAGG
rnacentral:rRNA from 1 species